rnacentral:lncRNA from 1 species
ACGGAGGGGGCCCAGCGCCCCCGCAGCCGCCUUCUCCUGGAGUCUGUGUGACAGAAUGGGACCUGUGGGAAAGCAGCACGUCAGCACCCAGCCCUGCUUGCGCGCCAGCAGCUAAUUAAAGCCAGGAAGUUUCUGGGUCAUUGUGAGACUGGAUUUCAUAGAAGAGUCUUUGCUACAGCAAAACCUCUCUGCAAGCAAUACAUUAUCCAAGCUGCUGGAGGCCAGAUUGACCAGAAAAAUGGGACCAAUAACAUGGUAAAGGAUCUUCAACACUAACCUUCAGUUCCUCAGGGUCCAGUGUGCUUGAAAAACAAUAAAUAUUUUAACUCUUACUUUCACCAGCCUAGAGGGGAGAGAGAGAGAGAGAGUUGUGAACAAAGGGUCCCUGAGUGACAUGACUCCUGUGUGGGAGAACUCUCUUAGCUUUGUAACUGAGGUGGGGGCCUGGUCUGGGCACUGCUUAUUAUUAUCAUCUUAAUUUUUAAAGCAAAUUUUUGAGAAAAGAAUCUGAAGACCAAUGGUUGUUGCUUGGCCACUGAAAAAUAAAUCUCAUUUUGAUAACUCC